ensembl:rRNA 5S_rRNA 5S ribosomal RNA
UUUUGAGGUACCACCCAAACACACCUUAUCUCACCUGAUCUCAGAAGCUAUGCAGAGGUGGUUAGGACUUGGAUGGGGGACUACCAAGACAUAUGGGGAAUCUCCAGGU